GUGCCCAGAGGGGGAACUGAAAAUGAAGCACUCACACAGGAAAUGCGGUCAGGCUCUGUACCGGAAGCCUUGUUACACGACGCGAAGGCAAUAAUGAACGCAACAUUUGGAAGAUAAAUAUUGGUUGAAAAGAAGGGGUAAAGUGGAGAUCAAAUUUAAACAGCAGAAUGUAAGCCAAUAUAUAUUACUUGUCAGAAUCAACUGCUGCAUUGCAAAUGAAACCUUUGCAGUUUUUAAAGUAUAAGUGUGGCAGAAGGGUUAUGGACUGUGUUUGCAACAUACACAGAAGUUAAAUUUGCUCAUUAACUGUGUGACUAAAGUGAUAAACUCCAGACUGCUCACCAAAAAAACCCUCCUCUUGUCACCAUCCUCCUUCAAUUUUUCACUGUACGCAUCUCAUGCCGCUGUCACUCAGUCUUUGCUCACAGUUUGUGGUCAGGAAGUACUUCUCUGACAUUUCACUGACAAUGUGUUCCACAGUAGUGGCACGCCAAGAGGAGGGUUUUCACAUCAAAAGAUUUACUACAAAAAAAUGGACCAAAUCUGGAUUAUAUAGCAGCACAGUUGUGGAGGCUCAUGCUCAAUGGUGUGUGUUGCAAUUUCCAGCCAUGUGA
rnacentral:lncRNA from 1 species